rnacentral:misc_RNA from 1 species
CGUAACAAGGUUUCCGUAGGUGAACCUGCGGAAGGAUCAUUACCAAUUCAACGGUGUGGUCGCGGCCUCCGGGGGCUCCCCCCGGGCGGUAGAGGUAACACUCUUACGCGCCACAUGUCUGAAUCCUUUUUUUACGAGCACCUUUCGUUCUCCUUCGGUGGGGCAACCUGCCGUUGGAACUUAUCAAAACCUUUUUUGCAUCUAGCAUUACCUGUUCAGAUACAAACAAUCGUUACAACUUUCAACAAUGGAUCUCUUGGCUCUGGCAUCGAUGAAGAACGCAGCGAAAUGCGAUAAGUAGUGUGAAUUGCAGAAUUCAGUGAAUCAUCGAAUCUUUGAACGCACAUUGCGCCCCUUGGUAUUCCAUGGGGCAUGCCUGUUCGAGCGUCAUCUACACCCUCAAGCUCUGCUUGGUGUUGGGCGUCUGUCCCGCCUCUGCGCGUGGACUCGCCCCAAAUUCAUUGGCAGCGGUCUUUGCCUCCUCUCGCGCAGCACAUUGCGCUUUAGAGGGGUGUGGGCCGCGUCCACGAAGCAACAUUAUCGUCUUUGACCUCGGAUCAGGUAGGGAUACCCGCUGAACUUAAGCAUAUCAAUAA